rnacentral:rRNA from 1 species
CAGCAGCCACGGUAAUACAGAGGGUGCGAGCGUUAAUCGGAUUUACUGGGCGUAAAGCGUGCGUAGGCGGCUUUUUAAGUCGGAUGUGAAAUCCCUGAGCUUAACUUAGGAAUUGCAUUCGAUACUGGGAAGCUAGAGUAUGGGAGAGGAUGGUAGAAUUCCAGGUGUAGCGGUGAAAUGCGUAGAGAUCUGGAGGAAUACCGAUGGCGAAGGCAGCCAUCUGGCCUAAUACUGACGCUGAGGUACGAAAGCAUGGGGAGCGAACAGGAUUAGAUACCCGUGUAGUCCCUGUCUCUUAUAC